CCGAUUUAGCCAUGCUAGUUGUACGAGUUCAGACUCGUAGCAGAUAGCUCAGUAACACGUGGCCAAACUACCCUCUGGACGCGGAUAACCUCGGGAAACUGAGGCUAAUCCGUGAUACGAUUCUCAGGCCUGGAAGUGGCGAGAAUCCGAAACGCUCCGGCGCCAGAGGAUGUGGCUGCGGCCGAUUAGGUAGACGGUGGGGUAACGGCCCACCGUGCCGAUAAUCGGUACGGGUUGUGAGAGCAAGAGCCCGGAGACGGUAUCUGAGACAAGAUACCGGGCCCUACGGGGCGCAGCAGGCGCGAAACCUCUACACUGCACGCUAGUGCGAUAAGGGGACUCCGAGUGCGAGGGCAUAUCGUCCUCGCUUUUCACUACCGUAAGGUGGUAGCAGAAUAAGUGCUGGGCAAGACCGGUGCCAGCCGCCGCGGUAAUACCGGCAGCACGAGUGAUGACCGCUCUUAUUGGGCCUAAAGCGUCCGUAGCUGGCCUCGCAAGUCCAUCGGGAAAUCCGCGCGCUCAACGCGCGGGCGUCCGGUGGAAACUGUGGGGCUUGGGACCGGAAGACCAGAGGGGUACGUCUGGGGUAGGAGUGAAAUCCCGUAAUCCUGGACGGACCACCGGUGACGAAAGCGCCUCUGGAAGACGGAUCCGACGGUGAGGGACGAAAGCUCGGGUCACGAACCGGAUUAGAUACCCGGGUAGUGCGAGCUGUAAACGAUGUCUGCUAGGUGUGCCACAGGCUACGAGCCUGUGGUGUGCCGCAGGGAAGCCGUGAAGCAGACCGCCUGGGAAGUACGUCCGC
rnacentral:rRNA from 1 species